UACAGAGGUGGCAAGCGUUGUUCGGAAUUACUGGGCGUAAAGGGCGCGUAGGCGGCCUUCUAAGUCGGAUGUGAAAUCCCCAGGCUCAACUUGGGAACUGCAUCCGAUACUGGAUGGCUUGAAUUCGGGAGAGGGAUGCAGAAUUCCAGGUGUAGCGGUGAAAUGCGUAGAUAUCUGGAGGAAUACCGGUGGCGAAGGCGGCAUCCUGGACCGACAUUGACGCUGAGGAGCGAAAGCUAGGGGAGCAAACGGG
rnacentral:rRNA from 1 species